rnacentral:lncRNA from 1 species
UGCUGGGAGGGUCUGGGAGGCGCUAGGUGGGUCUGGGUGGAGCUAGGCGGGUCUAGGCUGGUCUAGGCGGGUCUGUGAGGAGCUAGGCGGGUCUAGGCGAGUCUAGGCGGCGCUAAGCGGGUCUGGGUGCCAGGGUGGGUCUGGUUCUUUUCUUUUGUUCUUUUAUCCUACCGCCAUGGCCAUUUUUCAAACUUCAUCCAUCUUUGCUGAGGACUUAUGUCCCUUAAUUGUGUACUGUGUGCUGUGGCUGUAAUUUACAUCCCACUUGUUGAAAGCAUUCCCUCAUGUUGCAGUUGCCUAAAUCAACAAUUUUAAGCUUUGUUGAGAGAUUCCCAAAGAAAACAGGAAGCGUGGCAUUUAAUGGAUUACCUUCCAAGCUGAUCACCGACAAAUUUCUAAGACUAGCCAAACAAGAGAGGAAGUUUUUUACCGGAAUAGAGGCAUCAAUCGUCAAAUUAUUCCACUGUAAGUUAAGCCACUGAAGGUUUGUAAAGGCACGUAGUGUCAUAGGAAUAAAACCGAAAAACGAGUUAGUGGGGAUGGUUCCACUGAGCUUAUUAUCUCCUACAAGAAGUUGUUGCAGGUCUGGAACCCCCAGUGCCUAUGUCUGCUGGGAGGCUACCUGAGAGCUGAUUACUAAAUAGAGAAAUAAAUUUUAUCAUGGAUAAAUUAAAGAUUCUGGAUGGGAUGACACCAUUGAGAUUAUUGACAUGGAGUGCUAAACCCUGUAAGUUGUGUAGAUCGCCAAUCUCAUCUGGUAUUUCACCUGCCACAUACAAUAAACCCGAGCACCCAAGUUUAAUCUUAUAAAAACUUAAAAUGGAAUAUCUUUUUUAAGCAAACUGAGGAAAUAUUGGGCAUAUGAAGAGGAGAUAGGAGGAUGUGGCUGGUUAUUAUUGUAAGGUAGAAUGUUUUUGUAUUGACAUAUACUUUUACUAUAUAUAGUAUGUUAAGCAUAAAAAAUAAAAAUAAAAAUUGAGUUGAGUUGAGUUGAGUUGACAUAUAUAUAGUAUGUUUUUGUAUUGACAUAUAUUAUUGCAAGUAUACCAUCAAGUUGUUGUGUACAUGGAUGGUAUGUUUCCAGUCAAAUUGUUUUUAUUCAACUUUAGUACAAGAAGUUGUCUACAUUGCCAUAAUUUAGAUGGAAGUGGACCAUCAAGUUGGUUGUUACCCAAACCCAGCCGUUGAAUACUAGGAAGAUGCUCACAUAUGUUGUCCGGAAGAUUACCAAUAAAGUCGUUUUCAUAUAGGGCCAAAACAAUCGAAGAAGACAUGUUGAAGAAACCCGCAUGAACAAUAUUUCCCUUCUAGGGCAUUCCACUGCACAAACAACUUCUCUAACUCAUCUAAACUGCCGAUCUCGUUUGAAAUUUCUGAAAAAUCAAGUGUAUAUAUUUAACCUCAUUAUCAUUAACCAGCCCCUAAGAUUAUAUGUAUAAGCUGUUCAUGAAUACUAUAUAAUGCUCUGCAACAAAAUGCCGAGUCGUAUAAGAAUAGCAUACCUUUGAAAUUGUUGGAGUCAAGAUGUAUCUCCUUGAGCAUUGUUAAUUUCCCUAUUUCUCUUGGUAUGAUCCCUGUUAAAUAUGUGCAUAUGCCACAAAAAAAGAAGAGAGAAGGAAAAACAAAAGAAUUAACUAAUGUUAAAUGGUAAUAAUCAAUUCCUAGAUAGCUGUUUGUUGGCUCGUACCUGAUAGUUUGUUAUUGCCCAAAUCGAUUGUUUGCAAUGCAGAUAAGUUGAAGAUAGCAGUGGGUAUGGAAACUGAGAAUUGAUUAUCAUACAAGUCGAAUGUUUGAAGUCAUGAAUUAUGUGGAAUAUCAGUAGUUCUUGUCUUUAGAGUGGAAUAUCAGUACUAAUACGAAUACUAAUACUAAAUAUGUUGGCCAUAAAUUAGUAGUGCUUGUCUUUAGAGUGAUAACCGACCAAUAAAGUAUAAAUUCUUAAGGUGGUAAACAAUAUUUUCUGUGUAUUCAAGAUAUAUAGUAGUAACUAAUAAAGUAGAAGUUGUUGGUUGAUUUGCAUUGCUCUGAUUUCUAAGCAUAUUAAACAUCAGAAGCCAGAGAGUUUGACUAUUAGACAGAGAUAGGUAAUCAGCUAAGCUCUCCAGCAUGUACACACCUUGGAGUUCCGCAAUGCAUGUUCUCAUUUUAAUUAGUUGGAUAGAUCCAUACAAUUCUUUGUAACUCAAAUCUUAGGCAUUCAAGAUAAGCUACAAAGAAAUCACAAGUUGACAUUUAUCAUGAUGAUGAAAAGAAAACUACUGGACACCUCCAUUGUCCUUCAAAAGCUUAUUCUUGAUUUUAUUGAGUGUGGCUACAGAUUCUUGCAUAUUAAUCCUCUGUGCUGGUGAUUCUGCAGAACAAGCGAGAGCUAAUCUAAUGAUGGAUGAUAAGCAAUCCCUCCAGGUCUCAACAUCAUGCUCCUGCUUGGUCUUCUCGAGUAAAUUGGCAUCCACAACUUCAUCUAUUAUUGCAUCUGGUAAGAGUAGUGAAUUUGCAAUCCAUUGCUUUAAACUCAUUUUCCCAGAGAACAUCUCAUCGGUUGGCUUCCUUCUUGUAAAUGUUUCCAUCAGUACAAUACCAAAACUGUAUACAUCCCCUCUUGUUGAGAUUAUUCCUUCCGUUCCAUACUCUGCAAUAUUAUUAAUUACAUAUAUAUGAUGAAAAAAAAUUGUUGACCUUCUUCACAAAUUAAGGACAAGAUAUAGAAUUGAAAGAUAAACUAGCUUUGCAAGCACUCACCUGGAGCCAUGUACCCAAUUGUGGCUAGAGUCAUGGUCUGGGUUGUAGAAUCUCCUACACCCACGAGUUUAGCAAUGCCAAAAUCAGCAACAUGUGCAACCAUAUCAUCAUCUAGAAGUAUAUUGCUGGGCUUCAUAUCACAAUGGACGAUAGGUACUGAAUUACCAUGGUGUAGGUACUCCAAUGCCGACGCAACGUCUAUCAUGAUGUUCAUCCUUUGUAACAUAUUCAAAGAAUAGUUUUCUGAAUACAACCACUUCUCGAGGCUCCCAUUUGGCAUGUAAUUCAAUACUAAGGCUUUGAAAUCAAGUUCACUGCAACAGCUAAUGAUUUUGAUAAGGUUUCGAUGACGAAUAUUGCUUAGAAUUUCACAUUCCCUAUCAAAACUCUUGAAAGCCCCUUCUAGCUGUAAACUGAAAACCUUUACUGCAACAUAUGUUCCAUCUGAAAGUUUCCCUUUAUAUACUGAGCCAAAACCCCCACUUCCAAGUAAGUUGUUUUCGUUAAGUCCAUUUGUUGCCCUUAGAAGAUCUAGGUGUGAAACUCUUCUCCAAAGAAGUUGAGGCAACGAGUUUGCCUCUCUUGCAACUUCCACAUUCUUUUUCCUGCGUAGUACAAAGAUAGAUACGGAGGCCACUAGGAGAAUAACUGAUAUGAUCCCUGGGAUGAUAUAUUUAGCUUUCCUCCAAUUUGGUUCAAGUGUACCAUUUUUGCAUGGUGGAACAUGGAGUCGGGGUGCACCACAUAGUGCCCUGUUCGAGACAAAUGAUUGAGCAGAGAAGUUUUGGAAGGGUCCACCUGUUGGAAUUUGUCCUUGGAGCCUGUUGAAAGAAAAAUCCAGAUACUUGAGAUGUAAGAGAGCUUCUAAAGAACUCGGAAUCACUCCAGACAGACUGUUUCUGGAUAAAUCCAACAGUUCCAGGCUUAGCAAGUGGUUAAAUGAACUUGGAAUAGGGCCUUCCAAAUUAUUAUUUGCCAAGGACAGAUUAACCAAAUCCUGAAGACCCUCAAUGGUGCUUGGUAUAAUACCAGAUAAAUGGUUAUUUGAUAAAUCUACCUCUAGGACAACUUUCAAGUUUCCAAUACCUUCCGAGAGAGGUCCAAUUAGAGAAUUGGAUGAUAAGUUUACAUGCAAGAUAUCGACAAGUCUCCAAAAAUUAGAUGGUAUUGUGAAACUCAACGAAUUGGACUCUAGUGAUAGCCUCCUUAUAGAUGCCCCCAAGCAGGAUGGUAUAGAACCAGAAAGCUGAUUACUGCCCAAAACUAAUUCAACUAGUUUAUCUAGUUGACAAAGCUGAUAUGGGAUGUAUCCUUCCAACUUGUUGUCAUUCAAAUACAAACCUUGGAGAUUUCUUAGCCUUUCCACAGAAGUUGGAAUUGAUCCGGUCAAUUGAUUGUAUCCCAGGUUUAACUCUAUCAAGCUGCUCGAGUUGCCAAUAUCAAUGGGAAUGUUACCCUUCAUGCUGCAACCUCUUAAAUCAAUAUGUUGAAGCGACGAUAUAGAGCAAUUCCGAAAGGAAUCAUCAAGUCUAGCAUUUAACGGAUUAGUUCCCAAGAGUAGUCUUGUCAAAUUUCCAUGAUUAGCCAAACAAGAGAGAGUGGAAGUCUCAAUCGUCAAAUUAUUCAUGCAUAAGUUAAGGCACUCAAGGUUUGUCAAGGCACAGAGCGUGCUUGGAAUAAACCCUGUAAAAGAGUUUUGGUGCAAUUGUAGGUGCGUGAGCAUAGAAGCAUUGGAGAAGUUGGGGAUUACUCCGCUGAGGUCAUUUGCUUCUGUAUAAAAAAGUUGUAGGUUUGGAAGCCCAAGGCCUAUGUCUGCAGGGAGGCUACCAGAUAGCUGAUUCAUACCAAGAGUCAGUUCUUCUAUCUUGGACAUAUUGAAGAUUGAGGAUGGGAUACUGCCUGCAACAAUUUCACAACCCCUUGAGCAAAACACGUUUACGUAAGUUCUAGUCAUCAAUUGGCUGCAUGUGUCUUUAUGCUCCUUCUUUUUUUUCUUUUUUCUUUUUUUUUUUACUUCCAUAGAACCUUUAUCGGGCAAGUCAAUCUAUUUUAUUCUGAUCAUAUAGUUGAACAACCAAUAUUCAUGGUUAACUAUCUCCCCCAUUUACUAACUAUGAAAUAAAUUUAACUACUAAACUAAGAUAUGAAACAAGACAGACAUUUAACUAAGUUGGUUAAAAUGGAUGUGCUCCCUACUCUGCAACUGAGUUCGAACCCUCUCUUCUUAAUUUAGAUUACAUUAAAGUAGAAUAUCAUCGUUUGUAUUCUAUAUAUAUAUAUGAAACAAUUUUUUGGGGGGUACAAACUACGAAAUAGUUAAAUAAUGAUAAAUUAUGCAACUAAACACAAAAGAUAAAUCAUAAUUGGAUAACAUAAUGAAAUAUCAAUUACCUGUCAAAUUGUUGGUGUCAAGUGUAAUCAUCAUUAACUGUGUUAAGUUCCCAAUAUUUUUGGGUAUGCUUCCAUUGAAAUUGUUUUUCUCCAACGAUAAUAUAAGAAGCUCUUUGCAUUGCCAUAAUUUGGAUGGAAGUGGACCAUCAAAGUGGUUAAGACCCAAAUCGAGCACUUGAAUACUAGGAAGAUGCUGGCAUAUAUUGUCUGGAAGAACGCCACUCAAGCUGUUUUCAUAUAGAGUCAACAUAGUCAAAGAAGACAUGUUGAAAACAGCCACAGGAACAGGGCCUUUUAGGGCAUUAGACAGCACAUGCAACUUCUCGAGCUUAUCUAAAUUGCCAAUCUCUUUUGGAAUUUCUGAAAAUCAUACGGAUAUUCACACACACAUAUAUAUAUAUAUAUGUUAAACUCAUGGUUUAUGCAUAUAUAAUGCACCGCAACAAAAGUCGAGUCAUAUAUAACUUUAUCACAUACAAAUGCGCGGCAAUGAAUGAAACAAUAUACCGUUGAAAUUGUUGUGGGCCAAGUUUAUCUUCUUCAACAUUGUUAAGUUCCCUAAUUGUCUUGGUAUCCCACCUGUUAUGUAUGCCAAAGAGUUAGAAUAUAUUUGAAUAUAUGUUAGGUUUUGUUUAGCUACUGUUUUUAGCUUUCCUUGACAAAUAUAUAAUCUCAUAUGUAUAAUCAAACUCAAAGAAUUUAGGCUAGUUUAAGUUAGUGCUAAGUUGACUACAUUGGCUGAGAUCAACUUCAUAAUUGCCCAAUGCAAUCAAGCUUAGUGAAGGUAAGAUUUUUAUAAAUGCAUUGCAUGCAUUAUAGUAUUCUCCAGCAUGCAUCAUUAGUUGUCAUGUAUUAAUUCCUCAUAGCUCAUCUUUAGAAAAUAGGACUUGGGUAUUUGCUAGAAAGUUGAGGUACAUUGAAGAGCUGAUGAGGCUACAAAAUCAAGAUAAUUUGUGCAUUCAUUUAUAAUGGGCAUAAUUAGGAAAAUCAUCAGCUGCAUCACAAUUCUUUGUCUAGAUGACCAGUCAUAUAGGCCAAAUGUUUCCAGCACGGGAUUUUUAAUCAAAGUGACGUUUUCUAAUUUGUCAAUUUUAAAAAAUCACGUGAGCUUAUUUUUUAAGCCACCUGUGGUCUGUUACCGAACCACUUGUCCUAUUCUAGCUCUUAGCAUUAGCUGCCAUGUGUUUUUUAAGGAUGCCUUAAUUUAUCAAAAGGGUGGAUGAUGGUAGAGGGCAACCAACACUUUCAUUUGUGAUUGUUGAGAGGCAUUUUGUUGGCCUUGCCAUUUUCAGUGAGAGGUGUUCAUGGGUUCUUGAGAGCUGGGUUUUUCAACGGAAAAAAAAUAUUUUCCAGAUUCUAUUUCAAUGGUCUGAAAUCUUAAGCACUCGUGCAUUUUAGAAAGUUUUGAGAGUUUCUUACUUUUCUGCAUUCUCUAUGUGAGAUCUAAGUUUUUCAUUAUGAGAUCUUGAAAAUUAUUUUUCUAAAAUAUGCUUCGAUCUUUGAAACUUUUGUCACCCUUUGAGAAUUUUUUGAGAGUAAAACUUAUACUAUGCAUUCUCUCUACUUUGUGAAGUAUGUGUUGUUCAUUAUGAGAUUUUGAAAAUUGUUUUUAAAAUAUGUUCUAAUCCUUGAAAUCUAUUUCCUUAGAGAGAGAGAGAGAGAGAGAGAGAGAGAGAGAGAGUGUGUGUUUUGAGGGCUUUUUCUUCCUCUGCAUUUUCUUCUCUAAGUGAGGUUGUGAUUUUAAAAUGAGGUUUUAGAUUUUAAAAUCUUCUUUGGUUUAGAAAUCUGCAUCUAGGAGAAUCAUACACACUAUCAUCUAGAUCUAGGUAAGAUUCUUUGUUGGUUUCUUUAAGAAGAUGGUUUCUUGAAGAAAUUGACUCUUCGAUUUUAGAAUCUAUAGUUCUCUUAUAUGUUACUGUCUUGAGCUGAGUUGUGGUGCCAUGGGGAGAAGAAGCUGAUGGACUAGCUAUCAUUUCCAUAAAGAACAAGUUACUAGCUCAACUAAGUUUAGAGAAGAAGGUUGCACAAGGAAGUAGUGCUCAUUUCCUAAAUAGACCUAGGAUUGUUUGAGCCUGUGAUUACUUUUUCUGUAAGAAUCUUCUUGACUUAGUGGAUUGCCUGGUCGGAGUAAUGCCCCCAAUUUUUCCCAGUGCUGCAUUUCUAGGUGAAUAUUAUUUAUGAAAUGUUGAUAAAUGUUCACACACCUUUUACUCUAGUUGUUGCUAGCAUAGGGGAUGCUUAAAUUGAUAGGUCUUUCUAAGUGCUUAGGUUGUCACGUAGUUAUCUUAUAGGCUUCCAGGUUCUUAUAUUUGAUUUGUGAAGAGUAUGUGUUUUGCUUGUCUUUUCAUAGGUCUAUGACUAGUAUUUGACUAGUCAUAUUGUUACUAAGAAUGGUUGAUCAUUGUUGCAUUCGUGUUUUAAUUUACCCUAUUCACCUAAGUACCAAUUUCAAUAUAUAAUCUAGUCACUUGCAACUCAAAUAGUGUAAACAGAAAUUCAUGCCCUUUUUUAUUACGAAAGUAUUUUUGCUCAUCAAUUUAACCUAAUGUGUACCCUCACCACCAAAAUUUGACAUAUGUCCCUGACUAUAACCAUAGUUAAGGUAUUUUAUUUUCACAUGUUUUUAAAUCUUUUAAAGUAUUUAAAAUUAUUGGAUGAGAGAGUUUUUUUUUCUUUUUCUAAAUGUUAUUUUAUUAUCAUUAUCGGAUUUUUUUAAAUUAGAGGUAAUUACAAUUUUGAUUAUUGGGAUUAUGGUCGUAUUUAAUUUUGUUCACCGCACUUUCAAUUUUCCGAUUUUGGUCAUCACGCCUUGUAUCAUUAGCAAAUCAAGUCCAAUUAAGAUAUUCCGUCAAUUAAGACGCACCACAUGCGUACGCGCAGAGGCAAUAUUGCCCUUUCGCCCCUAACCCAACUCUCUCCCUCUGCAACCGUACGCUUUCUCUUCCCCCGUUCUCUCUCUACAACUUCUCCAUGUCCAUCCUCCCCCACAAUCUCUCAAUCUUCAGAGCACUCCUUUCCAUUAAAACAGUGCAAUUGAAGACAACGAUCCAAACAAAUCCCACACAAUGCACGCCAAGACCGACUACUAGCCUCGCUCCAUCGUCCCCCACUGUCACUCCUCCAUCAGCCGCCACUCAUGCGAGUCCUCCUCCACUCUGUUCUCCGAGUCCCUCAAAAUCAUCAACUUUUAUACAUAUAGCUUCUCCAUCCAUGUGUCUGUGUAUUAUUCCCAUUUCAAUUCAUUCCUCUCCCAAUUUAGGGUUCUUUAUUUGUGACAGAGAAAAUUAUUUAGGAACGCUUGUGAAUGAAUUCAUAAAUUAUUUAAUUUUCCUUUGUGGUAGAUCCUAUAGCUAGCUACAAAAGAAGCAAAAUUGUUGGAUACUUGCUUGGUGUUCUAGGUUGGUUUAUCUUUUUGUUCCAGCUGUGGACGAUGUUGGUAGUGUAGAGGAAUUUUGUUGCUUCAUCAAUUGGUUUUGAUCUUCUUCUCUAAUUCCGAAAAGUUGUGCGCCAAGGAAGAUUCUUAGGCCCCAUUUGGUUCAUGGAAAAGGAGAUUUGGGAAUGAGAAAUCAAUUACUUUCUCAUGUUUGGUAAGUCCAGGCAUGGGAAAUCGUUGUCUGGCCCAUGGGAAAGUAUAGGGAAAGUGAAGCCAUCCUCCCAACUUGGAUUUUGUUUUCCCUUCUCAUGGGAAAGUUUGGGGAAAUUAACCAACAUUAAAUACACAUUUUUCAUGACCAUUUUGUCCCCAUUAACAAUUUAGAAUUACAAUAUAUCAUUAAAUGCAUUCUUGUUUUAUUUAAUUUAAUAUGGGUAUAAUUGAAAAUUUGUACAAACUUUGUUUUCCAUUCUUACUCAAAACAAGCAUGAGAAAGGAAAUAAAGUGCUAUCUCCCGAUUACUUUCCCGGCAUUACCAAAUGUGGGAAAUGAAUCUGUCAUUUCCCAUCUCUUGGAAAAUGACAUGGGAAAUGAUUUUCUCUCAAAUUCAUUCCAUGAACCAAACGGGGCCUUAGGGAUAGGGAUUGGAUGGGGGUGGGAGAAACGGGGAUGGUGGUUGGGUUGUUUUUUUUAAAAUUUUUUUUUUUUAAUUUCCUUUAGGUUUUUUAAAAUUUUAUUUAUUAAUGAUUUAAAUAGUGGAAGUACAAUUUUGCCCCUGCACACACUUAGCACGUGCAAUUAAGCUGACAGAAUUAAGAGAUGUGACUUGAUUUGUUGAUGACACAAAGUGUGAUGACCAAAAUCGGAAAAUUGAAAGUGCAGUGACUAAAAUUAAAUUCGACCCCAACCCCAUGACCAAAAUUGUAACUACCCUUUUUAAUUAGUUUAAAGACUUAAAAACAAAUAGUUAAUCAUGAUUAUAACAAUGGAUAGAUAUCAAAUUUUGAAAAGGGUAGUGAGGAGAAACACUUGUGUGCAACGGGGCUAUGUCAUGCAUAAUAACUUUUUCACUUGGCAUAGUGUGAUUGAUUGAGGAUAGCAAAACAGUGCUAUCCCUGUUUUAAUAUUAAUUUUUCUGAAUAUGGAUGAUAUACAUUGGAUUCAAGUGGUGAGCAAAAAUAUUCCCUUUUUUAUUACUAGCUGCAACCCAAAAUUAAAACAUGCAUGCCAUGUAGGAUUAGUUGUUGUCCAUAUGAUUCAUUCUUUAUAAUUCAUGCAUUAUCUCCCCAUACCCAACGAGUCUUUAUGAAAAAUAUAAUCUAUUCAAGUGAGAAUUUUUUAGUACUGGAUGAGCUGCAAUAAAGAAAAAUUGUGGCUAAUUUUCUAAGGAAAAAGAACAAAUCGGAAUAAUUUAGCUUAUUUAUAGAUUAAUAACAAGAUGUUAAAAAGGUAAUAAUCAAUCAAAAUAUAGUGUAGAUAACUUGUUGAUACAUACGUACCUGAUAGCUGAUUGUUGCUUAGAUCAAUUUCUUGCAGUGCAUAUAAGUUGAAGAUUGCCGAAGGUAUGGAACCUGAAUUUAGAACGGACACAUACCAUGUAGAAUUAAUCAUAUAUUAUUAAUGAUUUACUAUCUAUGUCAUUAUCCCCCAAUACCCAACAAGUUUUUAUCAUAUAUAGCCUUAGCAUAUAUGUAGUCCCUAGUUUCAUUAAUGUAAGUUUUGUACAAACUUUCAAAUAUAGUAAAAAAAAAAAAAAAUUCCAACAUGAAUAGACCCAACUACCCUGACAAUUAAAAACCAAAUACAUAAUCUCUUUAAAGUGAGAGUUCUUUAGUAUUGCAUGACCUGCAAGUAAUAAAAACGGAGUCUAAUUUUCUAAAGAAAAAAGAACAAACUGGACUUAUAGAUUAAUAUCAAAAUGUUUAAAACGUAACGAUAGGCCAACAGUAAGGUCUAGAUAACCUGUUGACACAUACGUACCUGAUAGUUGAUUAAUGCUUAGAUCAAUUACUUGUAGUGUAGAUAAGUUGAAGAUAGUCGCAGGUAUGGAACCUGAAAAAUUAUUACCAUACAGAUAGAAGCUUUGAAGUUUGGGGAAGGACCCAAACCACGAUGGAAUGGAUCCCGUAAAAUUGUUGUAUCCGAAGCUAAUAAACCUCAAGCGACGCAAAUAAGACAAUUCAUGGGGCAAAGUACUAUGGAAGCUGUUAUUGUCGAAGCUUAGUGCAACAAGGAAUGAGAGGUUGCCUAAGUGUGGUGGAAUGGUGCCAAUAAAACCCAUGUAUGAGAGAUUCAAUGAUGCUACUCUGAGAUGGCGAGCACCACAAGUAACGCCAACCCAGUUGCAGAAGGAGGUGGUGGUUGACCAGUUCACCAAGAUGUUGUGAGGGUCACUGGUGAUAUGGGAUCUCAGAGCAAGAAGAGCGGCCUGGUCCGUGGUGAUGUUGGUUUGCGUUGCAUCUGUGCCGAUAGUUAAUUCAGCCACAUAUAGAGAACUGUACUGCAGCACCAGCAAGAACGUGAUUGACAAGAGGAAAUGACUUCUCUCCUCCAUGAGCACCGAAAACAGAGAAGUUUCCCUUCUAACUGCAAAGUGUGUUUCCUUUUUCUUUUUUUCGCAAUUGAAAAUUGAAAUCAUUGAAUAAUAGUAGUUGCAAACAGAGACAAGUUGGCAAUGAGAGUGGGGCACAUGAUUGCACCGUGAGGGAUGGAAUCCUUGUCCUAAAGGCAUCUGUUUCCGACACGGCACGGCGUUUCCCCUAUGCAACGACGAAGACUUAGGAAGAAUUGACAAUUGGGCAUCCUCUUUCUGCACAUCUUCUUCACAAAUUAAUGUACGGGA